CUAACAUUUAUGUUAGAAACGAUGAUUUUGGCAGCGCUGCGGCAGAGGGCAAGCAGAGAAGAUAUCGAAAAACAUCGAUUAAACAGAUGUUUUGAAAACAUCGAUGACAUUUUCUCCACCUCUAAUUCAUUGUUCAUACGUUCGCUCGUCCGAUUUUCUUUUUAUAAAAAUACAAUUAAAAUUUCAAACAUAUACACAUAAUGUUUAUAAAUAUAAUGUAGUGCAACACAUAUAUGUAUAGUAUAGCUAAAUACCAAGUGCAAUCCCCCAAAAGAUAACUUCAAAUGGCGAUCUAAUUUACGUAAAAAAGAGACAAAAAAGAAACGGCGCGUGUGAAAUUUUUUCAAGCGAAGGAGAGAAGUUGGAGCAACAAAAAAAGAAGAGAGAAAAAAUACAGCAACAACACACAAAGUAGGCCAACAACACAGCAAGAAAAAUCAAGCAAGCGGCAACAACAACAGAAGCAACCAGCGAAAGAAGCAAAAAAAAACCUUCAAUGAAAAUGUUUACCCGAAAAACGAUAAGCAACAAAAACAGCGGCUUUAAGGCUGCUGGACAGGUUUCCCAC